AGGAGCCGUAUGCCCAAAUCGGGCACGUACGGAUCUGUGCGGGGGGCGGAGAGCAAUCUCCGUCCCUACCGCGAU
rnacentral:misc_RNA from 1 species